UCACUUCGGACCCUGCCUAGCCAGCAGCCCAAGCUUGAGGAGCUCUCGUUCCCCUCCAUUGCCACCAUGGCCUCCACCUCUAACCUCCUCGAUUAGCUCUAGCCCGAGCCCCUCCCUCCUUCUCUCCACAACCAGCAAAACCCCUCCACCUAGUAGAGUCUCCCUACCCCUUCAUCUCGUUGCCGGAGUGCCAUAGCAGCGAGCCCAUCUCUGGCCGUAGCCACCGUCCUCCGUGGAUGCUGCUCUGCUCAACUCCGAGCUCCCCGGGGCUGAGUCGCCCAGGGAUUGGACCGCCUCGCUCUACUGAUUCCAACGGUGGGUGCACGCCACCUGUGGUGGCCUGUGUCACCGGCAAUCGCCGUCGAGGAGGCCAUCUGCCUCGGCUCGUUGCGCCCCCGAGCGAGACGAAGAAGAAGCCAGCCAAGGCCAUCGCCCGUGGACCCCACCCAUCAGUCUAACAGAAGAGUUGACUAGGUACGCUGAUGUGGAUAACUGGAGGCGUAAUCGACUAGAUUACGUCUUCAGUUUUCCUAAGGCGUAUUUUCGUGCCUCUUUAGAUCACAGUACGUUUUCCCUGAUCUAAAAGCGUAUUUCUAAAAAGGCGCUUUCUGUUUUUCAGCCCCGCUCACCGAAAACGUUAAAUUGUGAACGUUCACUAUUUAAGCCACUUUUCUGCCUAAAAGGUGAACGAGGACAACAUUUCAUCCGUCACUCCGAUUGAGGUGAUUCAAACAAUCACCUUCUCUGUUUGUUGACCUCUUUUUGAUGGGACUAUUUUCUUUAUGUUUGCACAUUCUCAAAAUGCCCAUUUUGCCCUUGCUCUAAUUCAGCCCCUCUGAGAGAGAACCGUUCUCUGGAAAAAUUUCCGCGAGUUGAUUGCACUCAUUUCCGGAGUAUUCCUCGACCCCAGGCAAGCCAACCUCUUAUCAUAAGCCCCGUCCUUGCGGUUGCUUGCACCUUGUGUGUGUGCUUAGUUGUAGUAGUUUCUUGCUUGUUUCGUCUUCUGUUAUUUCAGUCUUGCUUUUAUAAUUAUGUUGUGUGCCUUGCAUGUUUGUGCUUUCAUGCUAUCUUUGGACAUGCUAGUUGGAUAUUGCUAUUCAUAAUAUCAUGCCUCUGUUUUGAUUGAUGUCAGUAGACUUGAUGCCAUGAUGAUUCUGUUACCUUGUCAAUAUGCUAGUACCUGGAAUUGUCAUGUUUCAUAUGCUAUAGUUGUUCACUUGAGAAGCUUGGUAUUUGUUAAUGCAUUUGUAUGUUGCAUGCUUGUUGUUGCAUUCAUGAUAAAUAUGCUCAUAGUGUUGAUGAUGAUGGAGAAUUUAAUAAUAUAACUUAAUAGUAAACCUCCUCCGUCCUUGAUGGGAUCGAGUCAUAGUGCCACCAAAUCGAACUUUCUCCCAUGUAGCCACAUUUGCCUUUAUGGGAGGGCCCUAGAUGGGUCUAUUAUCAUGCUUCUCACCGGUGCCUCCAAUGAGGGAAGGUUAUGGGCGCACGCUACCCUGAUCAGGUAGGCGGACAUAAGCCUUGUGUGCCCGUAGUUGGAUGAUAAGCGCUUUUGUCCCCGUUUGGGACCGUUUUUGUUUUGCACAUGACGGUGGCUGUUUUGCCAUGACGGUGGCCGUUGUGCCUUUGGUAGGCACGGGGCCACCCUGGACUGAACCCCAAGGGGUGUUGGUCGGAGUGGUCGGGAGAGUGUCAUGGCAGUUCGUCGGUUUUGUCGGUCCACCAGAAUUGGAGUACAAGGCCAUGGGUUCCGUGGUGUGGGUACAGUGUGCUACCUCUGCACAUUGUGUGUUAAAACUAUUGAUAGCCGUGUCAUCGAUCAUAGGCACAAGUCCGUAGUAGGUCACACUAUCGGGUCUUGGUCGAAAUGGAGGAUAAACCUGAAAUAACUAAGUUGAUGAAUAAUGUGUAAUGAAUAAUGUGGUGACUUGGACUAUGAGAUAGUCGUGAGAAGUCACGGUGAUGUUUUGACAUGAUCACGAGAGGAGGUCUCGGUGGGUGUUGAACCAAGUGUUGUUUUAUAUGUGAUGUGUGAAUGAUCACCAUUUAGUUACGAGGUAAGCCGUUGGUAAGAGAGUCCGAAGGACUCGGUGCACAAGUGUUGGUUGCAGUGCAUGAGUAACAUGUUGUUAUUUGCAUUUAAAGAGUCGUGUCAGAAUAAAAGAUUGUUGCAUAAAGUUAACACAUUAUGUUUGCAUGUGAAGUAACUGGUAGGUUAUUUUCAGCAUAGUUUCAUGAUGCCAUGCCAUGCUUUGAUUGAAAUGCUAGAUUAUGCCAUGCUUUGAAAUAUCAUGUUAUGAUCAAGAUGCUAUGCUAUGUUUUGCCAUUGUCAUGUUUCGAUUGAAUUGCUAGAUGAUGCCAUGUUAUGAAUUGCCAUGUUUUGCUGCUACAAAGUUAGAAGCAUGUUUUGAUAUGUCAUGUUAUUGCCAUGCUAGUAGUUGUUGAUACUUUGUUUGAUUUAUGUCGCCAGCUAAUAUUAUGCCAUGCUUAUAAAUUGUGAUGAGUUAAAUUAUAGCAUGCGCUUGGUUCUUGUUUGUCAUAUGUUUGUUUGGAUGCUAUAUAUUUGUUGGUCUUGCAAGUACAGUCAAUGUACUGAACGAGCGUGUCAUGCCAGUUUUGUAGGUAAUGUCUGAAUUGUUUGCUUGUUCCGUCAUGCUAGGCCGUAAUCUUGCCGGUCCUGUGAGUUGUGGUGGCCAGCCAGAGUCGACAUGCUGUCAAACCAAGACUUCCGCCGCCAUUUAAAUAGCCUUAGAGCUAUGCCAGAUGAUUCUUGUAUACAUGUAUUUGAUGAAUAUUAUCAUACUUGGAAUGCUGUAUCAUUGAACAGUCGUGCGUCAG
rnacentral:lncRNA from 1 species